GAUGAACGCUAGCGGCAGGCCUAAUACAUGCAAGUCGAACGGUGUCUUCGGACAUAGUGGCGCACGGGUGCGUAACACGUAUGCAACCUACCUUACAUUGGGGGAUAGCCUUUCGAAAGGGAGAUUAAUACCGCAUAAGACAGUAGCUGGGCAUCCAGCGGCUGUUAAAGAUUUAUCGAUGUAAGCUGGGCAUGCGUCCAAUUAGCGAGUUGGUGAGGUAACGGCUCACCAAGGCAAUGAUUGGUAGGGGAACUGAGAGGUCAAUCCCCCACACAGGCACUGGGAUACGGGCCAGACUCCUACGGGAGGCAGCAGUAGGGAAUAUUGGGCAGUGGACGCAAGUCUGACCCAGCCAUGCCGCGUGCAGGAUGAAGGCGUUAUGCGUUGUAAACUGCUUUUAUACAGGAAGAAACGACUCUUGCGAGAGGCAUUGACGGUACUGUAUGAAUAAGCACCGGCUAACUCCGUGCCAGCCGCCGCAGUAAUAC
rnacentral:rRNA from 1 species